rnacentral:lncRNA from 1 species
CAGUAAAGCUGAUGUUAAGACCGAAAUUUUAUUUUUCAUGCAGAGUUCACUCUUGGAGAGUUGCAGUAAAGGCAGUCACACUUGGAGUACCUCAGUGACGGCAGAAAGGUUUAUGUUUUCCUCUUGGUGACAACAUAAAUCUCUGUGAGAUUGCUGUAAAGGGCUUGCACUGGGGUGAACUGCUCCCACUGUCCUGCCAUUGGUACACCACUGGAAACAUCACUGAAGAAGCACUGUGGUGGAGGUGGAGGAUGACACGAAGGCAGUGAGACAGAAGCCAGGAUUACACUUAUUUCCUGCAUAUAAACCCCCAAUUAUAGUCAGUCAUGGAGAAGGAUUUGAGACUGAUCUCCCAUCUCUUCAGCUGCAGCACCUGAUUAAAGCCUUCUUCCCUAAAAAUACUUGUUGGCUCAGUGAUUGGCUUUCUGUGUGAUGAACAGCAGGACCUAGACAGGACCCUUCGUGUUUUGAUCUCAGCACCCGUAUAUAAGAACAGCGUCAAUUUUGCUUGGCUUUGGAGGAGAAUUUGGAUGAAAAUGCAGAAGGACAUGUCUCUUCCCAAUUAUAAGAUAGCAAAGCCUUCAUACUCACUUGACUCUGGGAAGGAUUGUGUCACAGAGUAAAAGAAGAAAUUGCUUAUAGACUACAAAGGCUAACAUGGAGAUAGAAGAACCACAUGGAGCUUGGAAAAUGGGAAUCUCAGUAAUAACAUAAUGGCUGUGAGUCUGCAGGGGUGUCCUCCAGUGCUUUUGUUCUUGUUAAAUCCCCAAGGACCUUUGAAGGAUAGUGGGGAGGGGAAUCCUCCAAAUACCUAAGAUUAAAUUUCCUACUGG